ensembl:lncRNA
GUGCUGGGGCUGUUUAUGUCCCUGUGGUUUUAAAGCAGAGCCGUAAAUCCGAUUCUUCGUUUGAUGUGAGAGCGAAGUUUAAUAACAGGAAAUGACGGAUAAUUCGAUAAGAAUCGAUCGUUUUGCUCUGAUCCCGAUCGCGGCCGUCUGUAACAUGUUUAUUUCACUGAAAACCGGAUGAAAUCACUCAAUUAAAAAAUACGAGAACUGAAAGCGACCGCAGGUCACAAGUGCGUUUUUCAGAUAUAUUUGAUUGUUCUGAACCGCCCCCCCGCAGUGUUUUUUUCCCUUUCUUCAUCUUUAAUUCUCCAUGAGCAAUCUGAUCUGCUCGUAACCAGACCCUCGCCGCUGAUUCCAUUAGUCUGAUGCCCUUCUUCCUGCUUUUCCUUUCAACUGCUUUUUUCUUCCUCCCCUGAAGGAAAUGUCAUUUUUUUUUAAUUCCUCCUUUAAAUUCAGUCCAGGUUGUUGGUUUUGUUUUGUGCUGCUUCGCUGGGUUUUUUCCUCUCCUGCUUCCUGUGUGUUUGUUGUGUGUGUUUGUGGAUUUGCAGUGUGUGUGCUCAGGUUAUAUUCACUUUUGUAAAGGUAUAGUAUGGAAUCCCUCCUCCAUUUUUUCUAUAAUUUUGGACUUGGCCGAUUCCCACCCACCAGCCAGCUCUCCACCUAUCAUACGACAGCUACCAGGGUGAAGGCGAACACGUGUUCUCUGAAACACGUAACGCAGACCAACUGCCGACUCCUCAGACCAACACUCAGAGGAAAGUGCUGUCUACCCUCUUCCACGUAUGUGCAACUCAGCAAGCACCUAUGAUUGGCCGUUGUUGCUGUGAUUGACAGGGGAGAGAGAACAUGCCCCUCCCACCCAGAGAGCAAGGACAAUUACACUGUCUUGACUUCCAGCCACAAAUUGCUGUGGCAUCAUCAGGAUUCAAAAUCUUCUCUCUUGCCCAAUUUGGAUUUUUACACACCUUCGUCGACUUCGCCUCACUCCCAAACAAGAGGAGGAUGGACAAACCAGGAACAGGUUUUAAAAUCAGUUCCUACAUGAUUUUGUGAUCGCAGAAAUGAAUGCAAAUUCAAGUAGACUCUGCAAUAUUCAGAAGAGCUUGCAGUUUUUUUAAAUUACCACAGAUUUUCCACAGAUUUAGGCCAAAACGAAUCAGGUGACAUCAUCACGACGCGCAUUCAGCCAAAUCCCUCUUCUAUUCAUAUACGUCGAACACGAGUACAGCUUAAAAGUCUCGUUUACCAACAAACGUCACUGCGGAAGACCGUGCAAAACUAAUUCCUGCAAUCGCGAUUUUGCCUAUUCAGUAGUUUCCCACAAAAAACCGUGCAAGUUGUAUAGCAAAUAAAAAAAUAUAUAUGUUCACUCAGUUAAAUUGCAUGAACUAAAUUGUCUUGGUGACACACAUGCUAAAUCAAUGCAGCAAAUUAUAUAUAAUGUUUCUUUUUUUAAAAAAAAUAUGUAUUAUUUCCAAGUGUUGCUCAGGUUGAUAAAUUAUAAACAAACCUGUCCGGUAUUUUUUUUUAUUUAUUUAUUUUUUUUUAACCCUUGUGUGUCCUUAUGGACAUUUUUGUCUUUUUUUUUUGUUUGUGUGUUUUUUUUAGCAUUUUGUCUGUAUUACUGCAAACAGCAUAAAUUUUGCAAAAGGUGUGUAUUUUUAUUAGAAUUUUAAUAUUUCACCCUAAUUUAAUUUCAUAAAUCUAUUUAAAACUAGGUGACAAAAUAGUUACACUCAGGACCUUAAGGACAAAAAUGUCCCCACUGAAACCCAUUCAAACUGCAAUAUUUAAUCCCUGUGACGUUCAAGCAUAAAAUCAUCCUUUCUGUGUUAAUAGGCUUUUAUUUUGUUUCAAAACAUUGAAUUUUCUGACAUGUGUAGUAUUUUCUCAGGUUUAGCCUCUUGGGAAAAGACAUGCUUUUCCUUUUUCGUGAUUCUGCUGUAUUAUAGAGAACUGCAGACCAACUAAAUAAAUGAUGCAGCUGUAGUUGUGUGGAUGUGGGUGUGUUUGUGCGGAUAACAGAGUUAUGGUUUGUAUAUGUGUACUGAAAAUUUUAUGUGUGAACAGUUUGAAAGAAAGAAAUGAUAUUAUACUGGAAAUCACAAAUCCCACCUCGUGUAUGAGUCAGAGAAGAUUACUGGCCUUAGAAGAUUUUUGCAUUAUGUAAAGAAACCGGUGUUUAAAGGGUUAAAAUUCUGAAAAUGAAUGAAUGUUUGGUCAUUAUGAUCAGAACUGAUGCUGGUAAAAAAAAAAUCUAAAUCAGUGAAAGUGGGAAAAAUAUAUAU